rnacentral:lncRNA from 1 species
ACCUACAAGAGCAUGUUAGAUUAUAUUUCCAGGUUACAAAGCCACUUGAAAAUGGGCUCUCAAUGGAAAGAGUAAAUCAAACUAUAAGUGUGAUACACUUCCUUUGAUGGUGGUAUUUAUCAUUUGUCGAUGAUUUUAACAAACACUAGGUGGCAUAGUGAUUGCUUUAUACUAAAGGGGUAAAGGAGAAAAUGGUUUCUCUCAGUGGCACGGAUAACAUCAUCCAUCAAUGCUGUGGCAUGAUGACAUCAUUUUCUGAAAUUACCCCAUUUCUUAACAGAUCAAAAUACCCUUUUUUCACUAAAGAUCUUUAAUGUGCCUCAGCAUUAUGGGUUCACCUAAACAUAAUUUAUUAAAACUUCUAUUUACAGAAUAAUUUUCUUUCUUGCAUUUUUUCUCACCUUUCACUUUAUUUUAAUAGAAGAAGCUGAAAUUGAACACUGCAUAAUUAAGUAGGAGGGAGAAUUUUAUAUUCUUCAAACUGGAUUGACACAAAGUAUUCCAUAUGCUACAAAAAUUAAUAUGAUGUAGCCUUGAGCCAUUUCUCUACUAGCUGCAUAUUGCUUCUAGCUCCUCAUUCUCAUGUCAUUAAUUGGUCCCAAAUCUUAUUUGAGCUCUCUCAAUGCUCCCAUCGGCUAAGUUUUUUCUUAACCAUAACAAUAUAUCAUUCUAUUUUUACAGUGCAUGGCUCAUUUAGAGAAUCACUGAGGUCUUAAUUAAUGGGUUAUGAUUAAAGUAUUCAGCUUCAAAAUCCAUGAUUUUGGACAAGAAAUAAACUUACCCAGUGGGAUAGUAGGAAGAACAGUGGGUCUGGAUGUCCAUUGUGCCACAUGGCAUUGAUCUGCUCAAUUCAUUCGCCUGGGUCUGUUUCCUUCAUUCGACCUUUUACUAAACAGAUAUUUAUGGACCUACUUAGUGACCAGCUUUGUGCUGACACUAGGAAUACAGUGGUAAACACCAUAUCACAUCCUUAUGGCGAGGUGUUCGAAGUGAGACUGGAAAGAUGUUCAAGAAUUAGUGGAGUGGAGAGUGGGGGAGUGUUUGAGAAAAGGUCAAGUUCAGCGGUGCUGAGGAAAGGAACUGGUAUAAAAUGGAGACACCUGAUUUAGAAUGAAAGAGGAAGAUAAGAAAACAGGCACACCUUGUAAAUAGUAGAAUUGAACAAAGUAACUCAUCAGAUUUUUCCAGUUCUAAACGCGUAUAUAAUUGGUUAGCAAUGGAAUCAGGGCAUCUUGGCUUCACCAUUGAUUACAGGUAUGAUCAUAGGCAAAUUCUUAGUGUUUCUUAAUCUCAAUGUCCCAAUCUAUAGACUAGUGAUAUAUUCUAGUGAGAUACAUACACACACACACACAUAAUGAUGUAUGUAUGUAUGUGUGUGUAUGUAUAUAUGGAAAUAUACAUAGGGAUGUACAGUGAUAUGUAUAUGUCCCAAUCUAUAGAAUAGUGAUAGAUAGGUGGAUAGAUAGACAGACAGACCUACCCCAAGAUUAUUCUGGAGCUAAGAUAAAAUAAUGUAUUAAAAGCCUGGGUCUGAUAUACUUGAAGUAUUCUGUAUAUAAAUGAUAAUGAUUAUCAUUAGCCUAUCCUUUGCCCUUCUUGAAGAAGCUCCUGCAUCUUUUAUCUGAUUUUAUUCCAACAAAAGCCCUAGGAGAGAUUUAUGAGAUGUAUGACAGUAGAUUAUUUCUGUUUUACAAACGAGAGAGCUUCAACUCAAAGAGUAGCAUAGGAAAUGAAUGGAAGAAAACAGUCUCCUGGCUUCCUGUUCAAACUUCCUUUUCCCAUCACACAAUAGCCCUUCUGACCACUUCAGCUUCCCUUCAAACAAAGAAGGAAUCUUAACACACAAUGGGGAUUUGUCCAGAUUUGUUCACCUUACAGCUUCAGAUUUCAGGUUUUCCUUUGGGUUUUUUCCUAUUAUUCCAACAGAUCGAUUUUACACUGAAGCAAUUCCUCUCCUGCUAAGGCUUCUUUUGGGAGUGUUAUGGUUAUGAAUGUCCUGUCAAUCAAUGACUUGUUAAAAUGAAUACCACUAAAUGCUUUUAAUCAUUUUUAUGUGCACCAUCCUCUCUUCUCUGUCAUCCUCCCAUUACUUUGGACUUAAGAGCAAAAGCUUUCUUUACAAGCUAUUUCUCAAGAAAUCAGUAAGGCUUCCCUUAGAAAUGGCCUCCACUGGAUGACAUAUUUGAAAUAAAAAGUCACAGUAACUUGGACUGUGAGUUCAUUUCCCUUAAAAAUUCAAUAGAAGUAGGGUCAUUGCUAGCCUAGUGGUUAAUUGAAUUGCAGAUAAUCAAGAAAAACUUAAAAGCAGGGUUCCCGUUGUGGCUCAGAGGGUUAAGGACAUUGUCUCGGUAAGGAUGCAGGUUCGAUCCCUGGCCUCACUCAGUCGACUGAGGAUCCAGCAUUGCCACAAGCUGCAGUGUAGGUUGCAAAUGCAGCUCAUACCCACUGUUGCCAUGGCACAGGCUGUAGCCACAGCUCCAAUUUGACCCCUACCUGGGAACUUCCAUAUGCUGAGGUACAGCUGUAAAAAGGAAAAAGAAAGAAAGAAAGAAACCCUCAAAGCAACCACAACUGUACGUAUUGGGAAGUGACAUUGCAAUCAUCUUCCCAACCUUUUUUCACAGUUGGUCUUUUUAGGGCCUCACCUGCGGCAUAUGGAGUUUCCCAGGUUAGGGGUCUAAUCGGAGCUGUAGCUGCCGGCCUAUGCCACAGCCACAGCCACAGCAACACCAGAUCCUUAACGCACUGAGUGAAGCCAAGGAGUGAACCCACAAUCUCCUGGUUCCUAGUCGGAUUUGUUUCCACUGAACCACGAAGGGAACUCCUUCCCAACUUUUAAACACUGUAGCACACCUACUCUUUUAAAAUGACUAAAUGCUAGUUUCUCUCAUGAGCUGCCACACAGCUGGGGGUGCAGAUACAAUGACUCCAAUUUAAUUUUCUUCUGGGCAAAGUUAUGAGUUGAUACAGGAAGAGGAAUGAGACAUUUUCUUCCUGACAGCAACUUGAGGGGACAUUCAAUUUACUGGCUCCCACAACUCUACCAAGGAAAUAUUUCUUUGGCUAUUCCCCUCAAAUUAGGUUGGAUAUUAAACCUGCAGUAUGGCUGCAGAUGUUUCCUAGGUAUUAGAUAUCCAUUUCGAGUGUGUUGACAAGUGAGAUAAGUUAAUUUUCCUCAAGUUAUCACUCCUGUGUCUAUAUGCCUGACUUCUCACUAUCUUUAGAAAAUUCUUCCUGGAAUUCCUGUUGUCGCUCAGCAGGUUAAGAAACCAACACAGUGUCCAUGAGGAUUCAGGUUCCAUCUCUGCCCCCGCUUAGUGGGUUAAGGAUCCAGCAUUACCGCAAGCUGGAGUGUAGGUCACAGAUGCAGCUCAGAUUGGACAUUGCUGUGGUUGUGACGUAGGCUGCAGCUGCAUCUCCAUUUCAACUCCUAGUCUGGGAAAAUCCAUAUACCAAAGGUGCAGCUAUAAAAGAAAAAGAAAACUCUUCCUGAUUCUCCACACCCUAAUUACAUGGUUUCCUGCCUAGAAUUCAAGCAACAAUGCCCACUCCUCCAAAAUCCAACACUAUCAGUACCUCCCUUGAAUUUUGGUUGUCUGUGUCUUUGUCACAGCCCUUACUAGACUAUACAUUUCUUGAACUAAGCCUUUGUUAUCUCAACCUUUGUUCUCUGCGGCUCCCUGCUCAUGGCAGGUAGGAAUCCAGGAAAUGCACAUAGAAUUGAAUUCUUCUACCUCAAACCCAAAGCACUUUAUGUACCAGAAAAAUGACAGGUUGGAGGUGGGGGAGAAUGCAUUCCUUUGAAGUCUUCAGAAAAAAAUAGAUAUUACCCAUGAUAUAGUAUGCCUCAAAUUAUGGAUCUCAGGUUCCCAAGCUUUUAAUACAAGCCAUAAAUUUAGGCAUCAAAUUGCUCUUGCUACAAAUGGAAAGAGUGGAUGGAGUUUGGGUUGGCUGCUGAUGAUACGGGUUGUUUUUCGAUGGAGAAAUCUGUCUAUCAAGAGAUUCAGAGUGCUGUGUGUUGCAUAAUCAUCACCACUCAGUACAGGGCCGUCAGCGGUCUUAUUUUAAGCAUGUUUUCCUGAAAAUUAUCCCUGGCCAUUUGCCUUGAAUAGCUAUAUUUCCAAAACUAAGAUAUUUAUUGAAAAAAAGUAAAGACAAAAGCAAGAAGGCAUGAAUACUAAUGAAAGCCAGCUCACUGGCAAAGAUUUGCAGAGCAGCCAGAGUAACACCCUUGGUUUUGUAGGAAUCCUGUCUCCGUCCAUGGACCUUGGAAUGACCUCUGCUAUGAAGUCAAAUUUGCAGCUAAGGGAGUUCCCAUUGUGGCCUAGCAGGUUGAGAACCCAACAUUGUCUCUGUGAGGAUGCAGGUUUAAUCCCUGGCUUCGCUCAGUGGGUUAGGGAUGUGGCAUUGCUGCAAACUGUGGUGCAGGUCACAGGAGUGGCUCAGAUCCUGCAUUGCCAUGGCUGUGGUGUAGGCCUGCAGCUGCAGCUCCAAUUCAACCCUUACCCCUAGAACUUCCACAUGCCACAGGUGCAGCCAUGAAAAGAGAAAAAAUUGAAUCAAUAGGGUUCUAUGCUACAGUCAACUGAUAAACCAGCAUGUCCUUUAAUUACUUUGAUGUUAUAAAUUAAACAUGUGCUUAAUAAAAGACUUACAAAUAUAUGAAAUAUCUACUAAAAUGUUUAGAAAUGGGAGUUCCCGUCACAGCACAGUGGUUAAUGAAUUCGACUAGGAACCACGAGGUUGCGGGUUCAAUCCCUAGCCUUGCUCGGUGGGUUAAGGAUCAGGCGUUGCCGUGAGCUGUGGUGUAGGUUGCAGACGUGGCUUGGGUCCCACAUUGCUGCGGCUGUGGCGCAGGCCAGUGGCUACAGCUCCGAUUAGACCCCUAGCCUGGGAACCUCCAUAUGCCAUGGGAGUGGCCCUAGAAAAGGCCAAAAAAAAAAAAAAAAA